UAAAAAUCUAUGAAGUGGAAAGUAGCAUGUUAAUAUUUUAAGCGAGCUGAUGUUUGGUGUGAGUUCAGUAAGUAGUUAUACAUGUGAAAUAGAACCAUGGAGAUGUGUAAACCGCUAAAUGCGUUAAAAUUUUAAGGUGGACUUAUUUAAUUUAAGUCAAUCAGAGUGGUACCGCGAAAUAUAAUCGUCUCUGCA
rnacentral:ncRNA from 1 species